rnacentral:rRNA from 1 species
GCCCUUCGUCCUUCAUCGGCUCUUAGUGCCAAGGCAUCCACUGUACGCCCUUAUUUUCUUCAUUAUUUUGAGAAUUUACGUUGUUUAUCUACUUUUCAAAGAACUUUUUUGAUUUUCAGUACAUUUAGACUGGUGGGCCUAAAUGGACUUGAACCACCGACCUCACGCUUAUCAGGCGUGUGCUCUAACCAACUGAGCUAUAGGCCCUUAAAAUCUUAAAGAAUAUUAUAUUAAAAGAAUUAACUAAUGAAAAAAACGAAAAACUUAUUUUUUAAAUUAACUUAAGUCUUUCAAAACUGAAGAUGAUGAUUUUAAAAAAUUUCCUUAGAAAGGAGGUGAUCCAUCCCCACCUUCCGGUAGGGAUACCUUGUUACGACUUAACCCCAAUCAUCGACCCUACCUUAGACGAUUCCCUCUGCUUACGCAGUUAGGCUGUCGCUUUCGGGUAUUGUCCACUUUCGUGGUUUGACGGGCGGUGUGUACAAACCCCGAGAACGUAUUCACCGCGACAUGCUGAUUCGCGAUUACUAGCGAUUCCAACUUCAUGAAGUCGAGUUGCAGACUUCAAUCCGAACUGAGACUAUUUUUUUGAGAUUUGCCAAAAACUCGCGUUUCAGCUACUCUUUGUAAUAGCCAUUGUAUCACGUUUGUAGCCCAGAUCAUAAGGGGCAUGAUGAUUUGACGUAAUCCCCACCUUCCUCCAAU